rnacentral:lncRNA from 10 species
UUUUAAGCCAUCAAGUUUGGGUGGCAUCAUUUGUCACAGCUGCCACAGGAUACUAACACACCCAGAGACAGAAGACGGGAGGACAUAACUGCAUUAACACUGAGCUAGGAUCUGCACGCCUCAGGACUCUGCUCCCAGGACUACGGACCUCUGCGCCGAGUCAGAAGAACAGUUUCAGGAACCCGCUUGGAUAGUAGGGAGUGGAAAUGACCCCAGGUGACUGCAGCGGGACUCCUGGAAGGCAGAUAUUGGACCCGAAUUCCAGCAAAGCAGCUGAUGCCAACAGUUUGAAGACCCCCAGAGGAACAGGAACAGCAUGAGAACACAGCUUCUUCAUCUCCCCUGCCCAUGACUCCAGCCUGCACUCAACUAGUCAGUGAUCUCCAUACUUCAGCCCACUGCAAAACCCUUAAAAACCUUAACACCAAAUUUGAGGUUCCCUCCCAUCUCCUUGUUUGGCAGUCCUAUAAU